CUGUUAAAAUAUUUUCUCCUAAACCGUCUUUUUUUGUAGAUAAUGUGGAACUUAGUGUGGCUAAGUACUAAUAGUAUGAGUAAUGGUGUUCUUUUUAGUAUAUAUGAAAAUAACAAUGAAGGAAACAUUGUGCUGUUUGAUUUUUCGAACUGUUGUCUGUUCUAUACUUUGGACUGUUGUUCUAUGCGUUUAUUGUGAACAACUACAGUUUACCUUCAAAGAUUUAUUGAGAUCUUACUCGAUCAGUUAAAUUUAUCAUAAGUCAACAGGAUAACUUGGAAUUCUACACAGUUUUACCCAACAGCAGCAUUAAAACAACAUUAGAUUUAGCUUACAAAGCUUUUUUCAAAGCAAGAGUGGUAGGAAAACAGUUAACUAAAUCUGCAAUUAUUUUUUCGUAAUUUCUUAGUCUACUAAUUGUAAAUUCAGUUG
rnacentral:lncRNA from 1 species